rnacentral:rRNA from 1 species
CAGGACGAACGCUGGCGGCACGCUUAACACAUGCAAGUCGAACGGAGUUAUUUGAGUUACUUAGAAUAACUAGUGGCGGACGGGUGAGUAACACGUGAGCAACCUACCUUAGAGAGAGGGAUAGCUUCUGGAAACGGAUGGUAAUACCUCAUAAUGUAACUGUACCGCAUGAUACAGUUACCAAAGAUUUAUCACUCUGAGAUGGGCUCGCGUCUGAUUAGAUAGUUGGUGAGGUAACGGCUCACCAAGUCGACGAUCAGUAGCCGGACUGAGAGGUUGAACGGCCACAUUGGGACUGAGACACGGCCCAGACUCCUACGGGAGGCAGCAGUGGGGAAUAUUGCACAAUGGGGGAAAAACCCCUGAUGCAGCGAUGCCGCGUGGAGGAAGAAGGUUUUCGGAUUGUAAACUCCUGUCUUAAAGGACGAUAAUGACGGUACUUUAGGAGGAAGCUCCGGCUAACUACGUGCCAGCCGCCGC